UGAGAUAUAAGACACUUCAUUUAAUUAUAUGAAAUGCUUUUGUUUUGUUUUCCUGUGUGCUUGUAUGUUUUGUCAAAUGUUCUAUUUUUUUUAACAUUCGCUCAGUCGUUUUGUACUACAAUUCUAAGCGAAAAAAUUGUAUAAGUUUUGAUUGAUACACAAUAAAGAUAUGAAGGGGAAAAAUUAGUAAAAUACAAGUACGUUAACCCCCAGUAAAUAGAAAUACUUGUAAAAUAAAAACUAAAAACAGUGCUACAUGCUGGACAAGAAAGGUUCCUGUACUUUCAUAAAGUACCACCUUCCUCCUGAGCAGGGACGUUGUGGGGGUGAAAUGAGUCCCCCCCCGGAACUUUAAUUGAGAUCCUGUUCCCUGUGGUGGAAACGCAUGGAGUCAAAGGUUCCUAGUUCCUGUGGAAAGUUGUAGUCAUCACUCCGGCCAAGCAUUUAAGCCCCUUCUCUAUUGUUGAUGAAACAACCCCCCAAGUAGCUUUGGGGGCGUGUCGUUCAAUCAGCUGAUCUUGUGACGCACCUGCACUUGGCGCGGGAGAGGAGCGUCAGAGCGAGCGCGCCAAUUACCUGUUGUUGUUGUUGUGGUGGUGGUGGUUAGCAUCUGGAGGAAGCUAGAGAUCCACGUCACUAUGACGAGACGCGAAGUCCGAGGAUACAAGAAGCUUUUUGAAAAGAGAGAGGGUGAAGAGUCGACAAGUGGCGCAGCUGGAGCUAAAGGAGGAGGAGGAGGAGGAAGAAGAGGAAGAGGAGGAGAAGGAGGAAGAGGAGGAGGAAGAGGAAGAGAAGGAGGAGGAAGAGGAGGAGGAAGAGAAGGAAGGAAGGAGGAGGAGGAGGAGGAGGAGGAGGAGGAGGAGGAGGAGGAGGAGGAGGAAGAGAAGGAGGAGGAAGAGGAGGAAAAGGAGGAGGAGGAAGAAGAGGAGGAGGAGUUUUCUCCUGUCGGCGAAGCAGCAGGUUGGACGGCGUGGGCUACUCAACUGUCUUCAAUUGUAUCAACACAUGAGAUGGCCGCUUCUCAGCUGGAACAAUUUGGAGUUCUAUCAGAUGAGGGCCAGACUUCCCUGUAUUGUGGUAGGGGUCAAUGAUAGUACCGGUGGACCGGACCUCCUGAUUGGUCCUCUCCUCAUCUUCUGCAGUCUCCUGCAAUGACAAACCAGCCGCUUAGCUGCCGUCCUAAUAAGGUAAACGUUUUUCUCUGUCCAACACCAGCAAAACUAAUGACAUUCCCAUCAGCCUCAGCUGAGAUUUUGUGUUUAGUGCUCAGUAGCAAAUGUUAGCAGGCUACCACGCUAACCCAAGAUGCAUCCGCAUGUAACUUCCAGCGCCAUAAUGCACAGUCUGACAGAGCCGCUGGCAUGGCCCCAUCUUGUCAUCGUCAAACUCAGACAAGCUCAGCGUUGUCCCGCUCACUUAAACUUCCAGCCUGACCCGCGUCAAGCAAACGGUCACCAGAAAGACGGUUCGAGUGCGGAAACCCCAGCUGCUGUCACACUUCAAAGGCUAAAUGCUGUGUGUGGCAAGGAACACACUCCAAAUUCAAUCACUCAGAAUCUUACUCUGUCAGAACCCAUAAACAGUGGCUCCACAAUUACCAACAAUUACAGAGUAAACUUCCAUCUACUGUUACUAAAUGGUUACGAAUGAUUUUUGUGUGUGUGUGUGUGUGUGUGUGUGUGUGUGUGUGUUUUAAGGGGCCUUAUAAAUGCAUCUGACUAAAGAGCUGUUUGUCUUUUCAUCGGAUCCACAAUCGUCUAAUCCUGGAGCAGUUCAAAGUAUUUACAGAAACAAGCCAUAACAGGAUCAGUCUCUGAACACGGCAGGAGAUCAAAGUAAGGGGCUGCUGCCGACAUAAAUAUGGAAAUAAUAUGACUCAGUGGGAACACCGGGGUGUAACAGAGACUAGAGAUCGGCAGACAAGAAAGAGAAAAGAUUGGUCGACACAAGAGACUUGGUUUGAUUGCGACACUGAUUAAUGUCAUUUUUGUGGAACUCCUUUUUAAUAUUCAGUGGCUUUUUUUCAUCCUUCACCAGGGAAAAUAAAUGUCUUGCAGUUUGCUGAUUUUCCUUUGACCCAAACUUAGCAUUGCAAGGGAUUCAAACCAGAGGGCUUUAUCAGGCCUUCUCUAUUGAGUGAGUCAUUCGCCUUAUACAAAAUGACACAACAAACGCACGUGGAGGGAGCUUUGGUGAUUUAUUUGUAUGUAGUUAGUCAGAUACUUGUUAACAAACCAUGACGCACGGGCAAACAGCACUCUAUCUCUCCAUCUCACGAAAAACUCAGCCCGCAGCACUCCGCUCGCGUUCAUUUUCAUAAUCUCAAGUGAUGUUGACUUUAAAGAAGAACAGAAAAAAGAGUUAGUAAAAGUUACAUGUUUAGACACAAUCAAAUGGAAUGAAAGACGAUCAGUCUAUGAAUAUAUAAGAAAUAAGUAAACGGUAAUACCAUUACUGAAAACAGCGAUUUGUUUAAACAUAAAAGAACAAAACAUUUUUGGAAUAUGCCAAAUGAUGACAGAUAUUUAAAGGUAACAGCCUAUUUCAACUGGAAGGAGCCUGGAAAACAUCAAACAAACAAAGCUUUUUUAAACCAAUUUCCUAUGGGAUUAUAAAGAAAGGUCUGAUCAGAGCUUCUAAGUGAAUAUUUUGGAAUAAAAGGAACAAAAAAUUGUUGAAGAAAGUUAAAGUUAAUGUAUUCAAAAAACAAAUUGAUACCAAGGAAAUUGAUGUCUUUUAUCAAGAGGUAUUCAGCAUUGUGCAAGGGUGUGUUCAAAAGAAGAGAGAGAGAGUGUGAUGGGAGUCGGAUGUAAGAGUGAGAGGAUGAAAAUUAGUUUGAGGAGCAUUCUGGUAAAGAAUGUCAAGAGUCGUUCAUUAUUGAUCGUAUAAGUUGUAUAAGUCUCUGUCUUGUCUUUGCCUUUCGAGCUUUGUCGCCUUUUGAUAAAGGUGCAGGACACAUGAUGUUCUUGGUAAGCUCAACAACAGUGAGGAGACUCAAUGGUCAUAUUAAUUGUUUUGAAUAUAAUAUUGGACUAAAUGAAAUAGUCAGAUAACUCGGGGUGCAUUGCUUGCAGGUUGUGCAGCUCAGCCUUGAUACAGUCCGAUAACUUUCUCCAUUCUGGACUCUGUUACCUCAACAUUUAAAAAACUGGUCAAAAACUGUUGCACUGAUGCACAAAGCAUGUCUACGCUGUAAUUUUUGCAAAUGAUCAUAUGGGACUUGUGUUCAGAUAUCACCAACCUGUCCGCAUAGUUUGCUGCAGUGACGACGUGGGCGUCGAUAACCACUGACAGCCACUUGUCGUACAGUGUCGUGUUGCAAGGGACUCAAAAGAACCUUUGAAAUCUGAUUUGACCCGAGUGUCUGGAGUGACAGACAUAUCUGUAGACAUCCGAGUGGAAGCACAUUGCAAAUCACCUCCAAAUGUGGUUUGGUUCCAAUUUGCCAUAAUCGGAUUUCAUGUGAUUCUUUUUUCUUUCUUUUUUUUUUGGCUGUCCAGAUUCUCAAUCUGGAUACAAUCUGAAUAUUCCAGAAAAAAGAUCAGGGGUGGCAGUCGGAACAAGGCGAAAAUAUGCGUGUUGUCUCUGAAGACUGUGCAGCUUAUAUUAAUUGUGGGACCCAAUGGACUGAAGCCAUUAGCUAUAUCAGGCUAAUCAGGUUCAAGAACGUCUCUGCAAUAAGUAAUCCUUUCUUGCUCUGCUCUUCUGCUGGUGCAGUCCUCCUUUGCGGAAUCUCUUGUACCAGUGCCGCCGCUCGCUUCCAUUCGUAUUGUAUAAUGUUAUAUUUUCUUGGGAAGCUGAGCGUGUGAUCGCUUCACGACAGCUAUGUUCAAACUGGAUUCUUUUACAGUGUUUCUCGCUGCAGCCGGUGACAUUCCUUGACCUGAUCUCGUCUUGUAUCAAUGUUUCUCAUUUAGAACCGUUAAGCCAACAUGCUUAUGAAGAGUUAAUGGCCUUUUUUCUUGUUUCUGUUUCUGUUGGUGUUUGUGUGUUUGGCAUUAUCAGUAAACUAUGAGCUCGCUGCUGGCUGUUUUAUUGCCCUCCUGUAGCCUAGAUCUGAUUAUGGGCCAUCUGCUGCUAAUUUCGUCUCUUUAUUGAUUCUGAAUUGCAUUCUCUUACUCUCUCUUUUGUCUUCAAACUUGUUCGUGGGCAAACUCGCAUCUCUAGUGGCCAUAUGAGGAUGUAAACAUGAUUUUACUUGCACACAGCCCAUUUACACGAUUAGUUCCCCUAGUUUCCUGUGUGUUGGCUUCACGGGAAG
rnacentral:lncRNA from 1 species